rnacentral:rRNA from 1 species
AGGACGAACGCUGGCGGCGUGCUUAACACAUGCAAGUCGAGCGGAAAGGCCCUUCGGGGUACUCGAGCGGCGAACGGGUGAGUAACACGUGAGUAAUCUGCCCCUAGCUCUGGGAUAGCUCCGGGAAACCGGGAUUAAUACUGGAUACGACCACCUUAGACAUCUUUUGUGGUGGAAAGAAUUUCGGCUAGGGAUGAGCUCGCGGCCUAUCAGCUUGUUGGUGGGGUAAUGGCCUACCAAGGCGACGACGGGUAGCCGGCCUGAGAGGGCGACCGGCCACACUGGGACUGAGACACGGCCCAGACUCCUACGGGAGGCAGCAGUGGGGAAUAUUGGGCAAUGGGCGAAAGCCUGACCCAGCCACGCCGCGUGAGUGAUGAAGGCCUUCGGGUCGUAAAGCUCUGUGGGGAGGGACGAAUAAGUUGGCAGUUAAUAACUGCCGGCCUGACGGUACCUCCUUAGCAAGCACCGGCUAACCAUGUGCCAGCAGCCGCGGU